UACGUAGGGGGCUAGCGUUGUCCGGAAUCAUUGGGCGUAAAGAGCGUGUAGGCGGCCCGGUAAGUCCGCUGUAAAAGUCAAAGGCUCAACCUUUGAAUGUCAGUGGAAACUGUCAGGCUCGAGUCCGGAAGAGGCGAGUGGAAUUCCUGGUGUAGCGGUGAAAUGCGCAGAUAUCAGGAGGAACACCAAUGGCGAAGGCAGCUCGCUGGGACGGUACUGACGCUGAGACGCGAAAGCGUGGGGAGCGAACAGG
rnacentral:rRNA from 1 species